GCAGUUCUAUCUGACUGACUUGCCAGGUCCUCCUGCAAUCUCGUCGACCAUAUCUCCACCAUCUAGAUGUUUCAAGACGAUAGUAAUAUCCGAGUAUCCCCAGCCCAGGGAUCACUCCCAACAGGCUGCUGUAACCUGAAAUCCCCUCGGCAUGACUAUUCGGAAAUUGUGCUCGAGCAUUCACAAUUUUUGAACAAUGUACCGCUGUGAUCAAAGUGGGGUUUCAACUGGUGGAAAAUGGAGCAAUAUAGAUAAGGGUUGUUUUGCCUGAAUUCCAGAUGAGAAGGACAGCAAGUCUUUUUCUGAUUAAGGACAACUGUGUUACACCCACAGAAUAUGAGUUCUUUGGUGUUGUUUCUUGGAUUUCUGUCGCUUGUGGUGGGACAGGCUAACUUGUUGUAUGAUCCUGCAAAAUAUCCUAAUCUUCCAAGCUAUGGACCACAGCCCAAUCCUCCAUAUAUGGUGGACAAUCAAUACAAUUACUUCAGAACUGCCCCA
rnacentral:sRNA from 2 species